rnacentral:rRNA from 1 species
GAGUUUGAUCCUGGCUCAGGACGAGCGCUGGCGGCGUGCUUAACACAUGCAAGUCGAACGGAAAGGCCCCGCUCGCGGGGUACUCGAGUGGCGAACGGGUGAGUAACACGUGGGUGAUCUGCCCUGCACUUCGGGAUAAGCCUGGGAAACUGGGUCUAAUACCGGAUAUGACCUCCCUUUAGUGUGGGGGGUGGAAAGAUUUAUCGGUGCAGGAUGAGCCCGCGGCCUAUCAGCUUGUUGGUGGGGUAAUGGCCUACCAAGGCGUCGACGGGUAGCCGGCCUGAGAGGGUGGACGGCCACAUUGGGACUGAGAUACGGCCCAGACUCCUACGGGAGGCAGCAGUGGGGAAUAUUGCACAAUGGGCGGAAGCCUGAUGCAGCGACGCCGCGUGGGGGAUGACGGCCUUCGGGUUGUAAACCUCUUUCGACAGGGACGAAGUGAAAAUGACGGUACCUGUAUAAGAAGCACCGGCUAACUACGUGCCAGCAGCCGCGGUAAUACGUAGGGUGCGAGCGUUGUCCGGAAUUACUGGGCGUAAAGAGCUCGUAGGUGGUUUGUCACGUCGUCUGUGAAAUUCCGGGGCUUAACCUCGGGCGUGCAGGCGAUACGGGCAAUACUUGAGUGCUGUAGGGGAGACUGGAAUUCCUGGUGUAGCGGUGAAAUGCGCAGAUAUCAGGAGGAACACCAAUGGCCAAGGCAGGUCUCUGGGGCAGUUACUGACGCUGAGGAGCGAAAGCAUGGGUAGCGAACAGGAUUAGAUACCCUGGUAGUCCAUGCCGUAAACGGUGGGCGCUAGGUGUAGGGGACUUCCACGUUCUCUGUGCCGUAGCUAACGCAUUAAGCGCCCCGCCUGGGGAGUACGGCCGCAAGGCUAAAACUCAAAGGAAUUGACGGGGGCCCGCGCAAGCGGCGGAGCAUGUGGAUUAAUUCGAUGCAACGCGAAGAACCUUACCUGGGCUUGACAUACACCGGACCGGCGUAGAGAUACGUCUUCCCUUGUGGCCGGUGUACAGGUGGUGCAUGGUUGUCGUCAGCUCGUGUCGUGAGAUGUUGGGUUAAGUCCCGCAACGAGCGCAACCCUUGUCUUAUGUUGCCAGCACGUGAUGGUGGGGACUCAUGAGAGACUGCCGGGGUCAACUCGGAGGAAGGUGGGGAUGACGUCAAAUCAUCAUGCCCCUUAUGUCCAGGGCUUCACACAUGCUACAAUGGUCGGUACAGCAGGUCGCGAACUCGUGAGAGUAAGCCAAUCCUUCACAGCCGGCCUCAGUUCGGAUUGGGGUCUGCAACUCGACCCCAUGAAGUCGGAGUCGCUAGUAAUCGCAGAUCAGCAACGCUGCGGUGAAUACGUUCCGCGGGCCUUGUACACACCGCCCGUC